GCAGCAGUGUAGCACGGUGGUAAGGUACAGGGCUUGUAACCAAAAGGUCGCUGGUUCGAUUCCCUGCUUGGGGCA
rnacentral:tRNA from 1 species